rnacentral:misc_RNA from 1 species
GGUUUUUGUUAUAGGGCUGCCAUAGUGAGUUCUUGUAAUUUGGCAAGGGAGUAAGCUUCAGCCAAAGAUUUAGGUUUGAACAUCCUAAUAGGCAUCUGUAAUUCAUCAUUCAACCCAGAAAGGAAAAAACUUAAAGCUUGUUCUUUAGUAAUACGUGCCUUAGGAUAAAGUUCAUCAAACGCAUUCAAAUAGUCUAGCAAAGAAUCCACCUGUUUCAAGUUUCUCAACUAAGCAGUACGAUCAUCAAAAGCAUGGUCACCAAAUCUGGCCCCCAAAGCCCUAACAUAUUCAUUCCAAUUUAGAUACGCCUCUAUGCAUUUUGUCUUAAUGAAUCUCUGGUGCCUCUGAAUUGCACGACCUUUUAGAUGUAAGGCUGCAACUUUUACACGAUUCUCA